AUGCUGUUCUUGGCACACAGAAUCAGGAGAUGGAGACGCACAGACGGUCCCUGUCCUCCAGGAACUUGAACACGACCAACAGCCACCCCACACCAACAGUAAGGGCUGUCGGGUUCGGGACACGAGCUCCUCGUCUGCAUGUAAGGCUUUUACUGCCGUGCUGUGAACUCUGAAUUUUUACUAGUGAUGAAAAAGAUGAGCACACAGGAAUCUUCCAGAUACCUUCGGAGUUACACUGAGGCUUCCACCAUCAAAGGAAUGGUUCUACACAACGCAGUGAUACGGGGGCCACCUGGGGCUUUCCAUGAGGUGAUGAUUGCUGAGUAAAGCGGACAGACAGGAUGGUGUGCUCAAUGGAUACAAGGCAGGAAUAAUACCAGGAAAGAGAAAUCAAUGCCACAGCAAUACAACUUCUACGGAGUUUCCAACCUAAUGGAUUUCUCAUUUAGUUAGACUGUAAAUUUGAUCCUGUGCAACAUUUACUUUCUUUAUGUAGCCCAGGAUUAAAACGGAAAACCUAAAAAGGCCAUAUAGGAUAAAGAGACUGUGAGAUGCCCUCAAAGGGAUGACCAUUUCCCAGAGGAUAUAAAUAGAUUGUUGUUUUGAUCCAUUUAAAAGGUCAUUAGUCAAAUGUUCUGCUUCUUUUUCUCUGACUCUCGUUUCUCCCCAUCUCUUGAUUUCUCAAGCACAGAGGCAUACAUUAGAAAGAGAAAUUAAAUCAUCAAGCCAAACUAUCCCUAGUCCUAACAAGAAAACGCGAAUUUAAAAUUAAACUUUUAGAGGUUUAUAAAUUCAAGUUCCACAUGCAUUUCAAAUUAAACAAGUCACUUUUAUUAACUAAACUGCACUUAAAAUAAUUCCCAAAUCAAGGAAACAAUGAAUUCAAGUGCCCUCUUUCAACCAUAAGAAUAUGAGAAAUCAUGUUGGCAACUUUUGCCCUCUUUCUAAAAUCAUAACCAGAUAAAGCCACUAACUUGAAGUGUUCUCCUCCUCUAUUUAAACAUUAUGUAAAGGAUCUAACAAAUUACUAAUAGUUGAUAAUCAUCAGGUUUUACCAGAUUUACAAAGCCAAUUUUGAGGUGCUAAUAGGCCCCAGUAGGGAAAUCAGUCCUCAGUUAAAUAAACAAGUCAUUAG
rnacentral:lncRNA from 1 species